UUCCUUUCUUUUUCUACUUCAGGUUGAUGAAAAAGAACGAACUCAGCAGCUUCUACAUCGCUUCGAAGAUGAAGGAUGCAUGUUCUUAGACAGUAUGUAAAAAUAAAAGAGGUACAGUUUGAUGUAUUGGUGAAUAGACAGCAGCAUUGGAAAGCAUAAAGACUGAAGUCAAGAAAAAGUUAGCUGACUCGGAGGAGUAAAAGCCAUCAGGAUAUUGGAAAAGAGUUACCUGUAUCACGAUGAUUUGCACUGGGUAUCAAAAUGCCAGCAUCACAACUGUUGUUCCAUGCUUUGUGAACACUGUAACGGCUGUAAGACUUGACAUGGACAUCAUGAAAACUAAAUUCUCCCAAACUGCCUUAAUCAUUAAGUGUGUUUCCAGUGAUGAUGAUACCAUGCCACCUCACAUCUUUGAACUAGGCCUUGGGUUCAAUUCAGACAGCUAUGUGAAGCUGCUGAAAACUGUGGUCAAACUCUGGCUGGAGAGGGUUGCUGCUUGAAGGUCACAUAUGUGACAGCAGAAUUCAGCUCUUUGCCAUGCCUCUGAUUGUCAGAGAAUUUCUACAACUCCACCACUGCCAAUUUCUGGCCACCUAAUUCCCCUGAAUGUAAUCCCAUGGACUACAAUAUGUGGGAUGUGGUUAAGAAAUACACCAACUAUUCUGCCUGCAAUACCAAGGUCAAGCUGAUGGCUAAAAUGAAGGUGUAUUCAAAGAUCUUCCCAGAGACACAAUGAGGAAUGCAUGUAUAAGCCUCCAGAGCCAUCUUGAGGCCAUGGUAGAAGCUGAGAGUUGUUACUUUGAAUAAACUGUUAUCUCCCAGCCAUAA
rnacentral:lncRNA from 1 species